AGUGCUGCUACACCGGGGCCAAGGGGCCUGCAAUUUCAAAGGGCCCCCAAGUGCAUCAAAUGACUUGUGCAUACAUCCCAGCAAUCAAAUGCCUAUAAUCUAUCAAUCUAAUAUAAACACAUUCAAACACAAAACUACACCAAGUACACCACUGCAUUCACAUGCCAACACUGCUCACAAAUGCAUGCCUACUUUCAAACACUGCUCAUAAAUACAGC